rnacentral:lncRNA from 1 species
AAAACAUCAGGCAGCAUUAUAAAAUGUCAGAUAGCAUUAUAAAAUGUUCCUAUAUCUUUUUGUAGAGAAGACUGGCAAGUCAGAAAACGGUGGAAUCAGAGAGGGAAAGGAGUAAAGAGAUGACUUCUUCAGUUGCUUCCUGUACUCCUGAUGGCAUGUGAAAAUUACAUGAUAAUUUUUGAGAACUCUGUGCUAUAAAGACAACCCUUGAACUAAAAAGGCAAGAACUGAACAAUGCCUAAGUAGUACCUCUGUGAAAAAUCACCAGACCCUACUUCAAGGAUAAGCCAAUUUAACAGCAACUUCGUGAUUAAAAACGUUGCUCUGGCGUCUGCUCUUCUUUCCAAAAUUUUUGCUCUCCAUCUGCGUCAGACUCUGCGUCCAGAAAGCAUCAGCCUCCUGAUAAAAUGCCAG